UCCAGGGUAGCCUAGUGGACAUGGCAUCUGCCCGGUAAGCCGAACACUGUGGGUUCGAUUCCCAUCCCUGGAC
rnacentral:tRNA from 1 species